rnacentral:misc_RNA from 1 species
AACGCACAUUGCGCCCCUUGGUAUUCCAUGGGGCAUGCCUGUUCGAGCGUCAUUUGUACCCUCCAGCCUUGCUGGGUUUUGGGCGUUUUGUUCCGCUGCGCGCGUGAACUCGCCUCAAAUACAUUGGCAGCCAGCCGUUCCGUGUGGAAGCGCAGCACAUUUGCGCUUUUCUCGGGUCGCGGCGGCGUCCACAAGUCUACAUCUUUAACGCUUGACCUCGGAUCAGGUAGGGAUACCCGCUGAACUUAA